UACGAAGGGGGCGAGCGUUGUUCGGAAUUACUGGGCGUAAAGGGCGCGUAGGCGGCCCCUUUUGUCGCGUGUGAAAGCCCCGGGCUCAACCUGGGAACGGCGCGCGAAACGGGGGGGCUUGAGUUCGGGAGAGGAGAGUGGAAUUCCCAGUGUAGAGGUGAAAUUCGUAGAUAUUAGGAAGAACACCAGUGGCGAAGGCGGCUCACUGGCCCGGUACUGACGCUGAGGUGCGAAAGCGUGGGGAGCAAACAGG
rnacentral:rRNA from 1 species